UACAGAGGUGCCAAGCGUUAGGCGGAAUCACUGGGCUUAAAGCGCGCGUAGGCGGCUUUGCAAGUCGGGUGUGAAAUCCCCCAGGCUUAACCUGGGAACUGCAUUCGAGACUGCAUUGCUAGAGUAUGGGAGAGGAAACUGGAAUUUACGGGUGUAGCAGUGAAAUGCGUAGAGAUCGUAAGGAAGACCAGUGGCGAAGGCGAGUUUCUGGACAGUUACUGACGCUGAGGCACGAAGGCCAGGGGAGCAAACGGGG
rnacentral:rRNA from 1 species